GGAGUAAUAGUAUAGUUAAUACUCGCCUACCACUGGUAGGACGAACAAGUUAGUAAAUAGACUUGCUAAUACUCCAUACUCCUUCUUAACACAAGUUAAGCAGGGAAAGUUUUUCGGUGUAGGAUGAGACUAUAUUGUAUCAGCUAGUUGGUGAGGUAAUGGCUCACCAAGGCUUUGACGCAUAACUGGUCUGAGAGGAUGAUCAGUCACACUGGAACUGAGACACGGUCCAGACUCCUACGGGAGGCAGCAGUAGGGAAUAUUGCUCAAUGGGGGAAACCCUGAAGCAGCAACGCCGCGUGGAGGAUGACACUUUUCGGAGCGUAAACUCCUUUUGUUGGGGAAGAACAAUGACGGUACCCAACGAAUAAGCACCGGCUAACUCCGUGCC
rnacentral:rRNA from 1 species